rnacentral:rRNA from 1 species
AACGCUAGCGGCAGGCUUAAUACAUGCAAGUCGAGGGGUAACAUGGGUAGCAAUACCUGAUGACGACCGGCAAACGGGUGAGGAACACGUACGCAACUUUCCCUAAACUGGUGAAUAGCCCUCCGAAAGGAGGAUUAAUACACCGUAACUUAAUGAAGUGGCAUCACUUUAUUAAUAUAGCUCCGGCGGUUUAGGAUAGGCGUGCGCAUGAUUAGAUAGUUGGCGGGGUAACGGCCCACCAAGUCUACGAUCAUUAACUGGUGUGAGAGCCCGACCAGUCACACGGGCACUGACACACGGGCCCGACUCCUACGGGAGGCAGCAGUAAGGAAUAUUGGUCAAUGGACUAAAGUCUGAACCAGCCAUGCCUCGUGA